rnacentral:rRNA from 1 species
UACAGAGGGGGCAAGCGUUGUUCGGAAUUACUGGGCGUAAAGGGCGCGUAGGCGGCCUGCUAAGUCGGACGUGAAAUCCCUCGGCUCAACCGGGGAACUGCGUCCGAUACUGGCGGGCUUGAAUUCGGGAGAGGGAUGUGGAAUUCCAGGUGUAGCGGUGAAAUGCGCAGAUAUCAGGAGGAACACCGAUGGCGAAGGCAGGUCUCUGGGCCAUAACUGACGCUGAGAAGCGAAAGCAUGGGGAGCGAACAGG